GCGGCGCUGGUUCAGGUCUUCGCGGAACUCGCGCUGCUUGCGCUGGAAGUCCGCGUCGAGCUGCGCGAGGUCACGCUGGCGCGCCGCGC
rnacentral:tRNA from 1 species